ensembl:lncRNA
GUAAUGUUUACUGCCAGCACCUUGUUUUAUAUGCGCAUGUUUGCGAUAUGAAAUGCACUGGAAGGCAGGGUGUGAUGUAAUGUGUGAUUUGUCAAGCUUGCUUGCCUAUGCCUGCAUCUCACAGUGUUCUUAAUAUGGUCAGACUUCCCAGUUGGAACGAAUCACAGUAAGAGAGAAAAGAAAGAGAGAACAUAAGGAAGAAAAGUGGGAGUCUCAGACAUCACGACCGCAGCUCUGAAGGUUAUUGUGUCACGCUGACCCUUGUACAGUCAAACCUUCUGAGCGUGUCUCAGCAUCUUCCUUGAUAGCAACACAAACAGACGGCUAGAAUAAACUGGGCCUCAUUUUACACACUACAAAGAUUUUGCACACAGCGUUCACUGCCAAAAUGUCACAUUUCUGCACUUCAGGGAUACCCCAGGGAAGGACAAUGUGCUCCGAACACCACAUCUGCUCCCUUCCCAGAGUCACCAUCAGGCAGUAGUUAUGCAGAGAGUUACAGAUUUGAGGAGGUGUGGCGCAAUGAGACGGACAAGAUGGGUGUGGCAUCAGUGAUUAAGCAGGAAGUUUUAUUUACUGGAUCAGUUGUAUCACAGUGCUCACUGGUCACACUUCUUUGCAGUGGAUGGUGAAGAUCAAAGAUAUCAACACUGAUUAAUAUAGUUUUUCCUUGGCCAUGCACUGUAAUGUUCUGGCAUGUCUCUCUCUCUCUCUCUCAUUCUCUCUCUGUGUGUGUGUGUGUGUGUGUGUACUUGAACCGCCUGUGAGAUCAGAGUGAUCAACCAGAUUGGUUGUGAGUCAACCAGAAGGCCGUUCUGUUUUCUGUGAUGUGCAGUGAAGAAUAAAGCCACAGUAUAAAGCA